GGACGUGAGAGUAAUCUGGCUGCAGCAUCUGUCACCCCAUUGAUUGCCGGGGUUGAUUCGGCUGCUCUGGCUGGCUAGGCAGGUGUCCCCUUCCUCCCUCACCGCUCCAUGUGUGUCCCUCCUGAAUGCUCAGCCUAAGAGGAUGGCCUUCCCCGAAUAGAGGAGGACUGGUCUUCGGCCAAUGGGAGCUGCGCUCCCCUGCUAGAACCUCCAAACAAGCUCUCAAGAAAUAAAGUUGUUGUUGUUGUUUGGAUAGUUUGGCUUGGGAGGCUCUGUGCCAACCA
rnacentral:snRNA from 1 species